UACAGAGGUGGCAAGCGUUGUUCGGAAUUACUGGGCGUAAAGGGCGCGUAGGCGGUUCGGUAAGUCCUGUGUGAAAUCCCUCGGCUCAACUGAGGAACUGCACGGGAGACUGCCGGGCUUGAGUUCGGGAGAGGUGAGUGGAAUUCCUAGUGUAGAGGUGAAAUUCGUAGAUAUUAGGAAGAACACCAGUGGCGAAGGCGGCUCACUGGCCCGGUACUGACGCUGAGGCGCGAAAGCGUGGGGAGCAAACAGG
rnacentral:rRNA from 1 species